rnacentral:rRNA from 1 species
AACGUAGGUUCCGAGCGUUAUCCGGAUUUACUGGGCGUAAAGCGCGUUCAGGCGGUUUGGCAAGUCGGGCAUGAAAUCUCUCGGCUCAACCGGGAGAGGUUGUCCGAUACUGCUGGACUUGAGGGCAGUAGAGGGUGGUGGAAUUCCGGGUGUAGUGGUGAAAUGCGUAGAUAUCGGAAGGAACAUCAGUGGCGAAGGCGACUUCCUGGACCAAUACUGACGCUCAGGUGCGAAAGCGUGGGGAGCAAACAGG